rnacentral:rRNA from 1 species
GAUGAACGCUGGCGGCGUGCCUAAUACAUGCAAGUCGAGCGAACAGAUGAGGAGCUUGCUCCUCUGACGUUAGCGGCGGACGGGUGAGUAACACGUGGAUAACCUACCUAUAAGACUGGGAUAACUUCGGGAAACCGGAGCUAAUACCGGAUAAUAUAUUGAACCGCAUGGUUCAAUAGUGAAAGACGGUUUUGCUGUCACUUAUAGAUGGAUCCGCGCCGCAUUAGCUAGUUGGUAAGGUAACGGCUUACCAAGGCAACGAUGCGUAGCCGACCUGAGAGGGCGAUCGGCCACACUGGAACUGAGACACGGUCCAGACUCCUACGGGAGGCAGCAGUAGGGAAUCUUCCGCAAUGGGCGAAAGCUUGACGGAGCAACGCCGCGUGAGUGAUGAAGGUCUUCGGAUCGUAAAACUCUGUUAUUAGGGAAGAACAAAUGUGUAAGUAACUAUGCACGUCUUGACGGUACCUAAUCAGAAAGCCACGGCUAACUACGUG